rnacentral:rRNA from 1 species
GGGCAUAAAGUAUAUUACCGAAGCUAUGGAAUUGUUAGCAAUAACAAAUUGGUAGGGGAGCAUUCUAGUCAGCGUUGAAGGUGUAUCGUAAGGUAUGCUGGAGCGUCUAGAAAAGAAAAUGUAGGAAUAAGUAACGAUAAGGCAGGCGAGAAACCUGCCCACCGAUAGACUAAGGUUUCCUGAUCAACGCUAAUCGGAUCAGGGUUAGUCGGGACCUAAGGCGAACCCGAAAGGGGUAGUCGAUGGAUAACAGGUUAAUAUUCCUGUACUAGCAUAUAUUGCGAUGGGGUGACGGAGUAGUGAAAGGUCUGCGUACUGACGGAAUAGUACGUUGAAGAGUGUAGGUAUUAGACUUAUAGGAAAAUCCGUAAGACUAGCUGAACUUGAUAGUACCAAGAGCCUUCGGGCAAUUGGAUAAUGACCCUAAUCAGACUUCCAAGAAAAACCUCUAAGCUUCAGAUAUAUGCUACUCGUACCGCAAACCGACACAGGUAGUCAAGGAGAGAAUCCUGAGGUGCUCGAGUGAUUCAUGGCUAAGGAACUAGGCAAAUUGGAUCCGUAACUUCGG